UCCAAAGGGCACCCAGUCGCAGUCAACAGAAUAAUGCCCAGAACCAUGCCAUGGUUGAUCAUCAACUGGAUACCAGAAUGCAACAGACAUCUUGCUGGAUCCACCAAUGGUGAAUUGUGCAUCCUACAACCACCAGAAAAUUUAAAUAUCGCUUUGGGGUUUCAAUUUUUACACAAGUGAAAGCAAUUUCCCCCUCAAGAGAAAGUAAGUAUUCUUGAGAUGAUAAAGACGGCAACCAUGGUGAGCAUCUGGGUCAAGAGCGGGGAGAAGAGAGAAGUCGGAGCCAUCAAUGUCCUUCCAAUCGUCGGCAUGGCCAUCUAGAGAAACAAGUCCAGGUUUAAAGUCGGCCUGGAGUCGGAUCUCCGAGUUAGAAUCGCAGCUCCAUGGACCUGACUCUUCGUGUGAGUCGACCACUCCGAUUGAGACGAAGGCCAAGAAAAGUAUAAGAAAAAGCGUGUGAAGCAUUGUG